ACAGCGGAGCAAAGGGGAAAAAGAGGGGGAGGGAGGAAGGUUGCCGGGCCCAGAGAGAGGCAGGCGGAGAAGCGAGCUAGGUCCGCCCGCCUGAAGGCGGAGCUGCGCGGAGGAGGCCCCGCGCGUUGUCAUGGCGACGGCUGCGGCCUGCGGGCUCGCUGGGCGGUAUCCCACCCCUCUGUGAGGUUGUUGGGUGGGGAGGGCGGUGGGAAAAGUUUAGGAUUGACGGGACAUCUGAGGGAAAAGGGCGGUUUGAGGGCUCCGAGGACCCACGUAGAGCCCUUCUGAGAGACCAAAGAUAUAAAGAGGAGAUCUGGGCAGACCUUGAGAGCUAGAUACAGCUCUUAUCCCCAUUGCUCCCUGGAACGUAUUGUGUCCCUCUCAGAGACGUUUCCAUCCAUCCUCAGAGGCGGACAAAGCCAUUUUCUGAUUUAAAAGAAGACAAAUUUGGGGACAGAACUGCAGCCCAGCUGAUGACGUAUAGCCAGGACUUGGGCAAGAAAAGCCAGAGGGAGAAAGUUAGAAAGAGCUCUAACGUGGAGUUCCCAUUUUCAUUCAUUCUUUGGGGUAAGAGCAGCUUUCUCCAAAAAGGCACAUCCAUCCAAAGAGGCACUCAGGCACUGCUAGUCAGCAACUUUAUCCAGGAUGGCUCUGGAUAUAAGGAAAAGGGGAAGCGUGGCCUGUGAACUCCAUUGUGACUGAACUCUGCAAGGCACAACAGGGUUUUCAGAUGCCUUCCUUUGGUGGGUUUUAAUAGGCUGAACAAAUUGAAACUUUGGUGAAAUCAAAGAUAGAGAAAGAAGCGACACGUCUCUUUCUUGCGGAGGAAAAAAAAAAAAAAGCAAAAUAAUUCCUUUAAAUGCCCGAGGACAAUGUGAUAUCAAAUGUGGAGGAGAACAAGAUGAAUCUCAUUACUUUGCUCAAAGUCAGGAAUGCCUGCUCAUGAAAAUGCAGGAAGGAAACUGCUCGCCUCUACAGUCUGAAUUAAAGGAGGGCCGACAUUUCAGCGUACUGCCUGCUGCUCUGUAAACAGCCCUGCUCCAAAGGAAUCGUCUGAAUGCAGCAUCUCCAAGCCAUUGUGCCACACGGGAGUGUUUUUUCUUCUCAGUGAGGACUUCUGAACCAAAUGGAGGUCAAGAGCCUAUUACGACCAGCCUUAAAGCGUGAGCAGUGCUCUUAGAGGAGCCCGGAGGAGCAUAUGCUUUAAAGCUAAAUGGUCUCACUGUCGAACAAGAAGUGCUGUCCUUGGAGCAAGCUAUUACAGCUGCUUUGGAAAUUGUUGGUGCUGGUUGCAUGAAUAGAUUAUAACAAUUCAGCUGAGCCACGGUGAUUUCUUGGUGUAAACUUGUAGCCAUGCAAAAGCAGUAUUCUGGUCUGAGCCUAGCUCUUGACCAAGAAGAUGAGCCUAAAAAACGUACUUCUCAUUAUCUGCAAGAUGGAAAGUGCACGAAGGCAGCUGAUGGGCACUGUCUCAAGGCAGA
rnacentral:lncRNA from 1 species